rnacentral:rRNA from 1 species
AUACGGAGGAUCCGAGCGUUAUCCGGAUUUAUUGGGUUUAAAGGGAGCGUAGGCGGGAGAUCAAGUCAGCUGUGAAAUGUAGAUGCUCAACAUCUGCACUGCAGUUGAAACUGGUUUUCUUGAGUGCGUAAGGGGCAGGCGGAAUUCGUCGUGUAGCGGGGAAAUGCUUAGAUAUGACGAAGAACUCCGAUCGCGAAGGCAGCCUGCCGGGCCGCGACUGACGCUGAAGCUCGAAGGUGCGGGUAUCGAACAGGAUUAGAUACCCUGGUAGUCCGCACAGUAAACGAUGGAUACUCGCUGUCGGCGAUAUACGGUCGGUGGCCAAGCGAAAGCGUUAAGUAUCCCACCUGGGGAGUACGCCGGCAACGGUGAAACUCAAAUGAAUUGACGGGG